rnacentral:misc_RNA from 1 species
AAAGUUAAGGUGUUCUUGUAAUCUUUUCCACAAGUCCGUGCCAUUGUUGAAUUCCUAGGAUAAGGUGACAGUGUAGUUACUAUCUAAGCGGUGCUAAUUAAUGUUAUAGAAUGUUUCUUCUGCUUAGUUACGUGUUUUAUGUAAUAUGCAGAGGAUUAAACUGGAUCUUUUAAGAAUUAGGAGUCCAGAAAUGACAACCCUAUUGCACAUCAAAAUUAAAGAAAUAGUGUAUUCCCAAUACCCUUUGCAAGAGAGCAAGUAAAUAGGAUUUUUGGCUGUUGAAUUUGUUAAACUUUCAGUUAUAAAACUGUACUAGCUCUCAUGAUUUCAUUAAAACAGCUUCUUUGCAUAUGUGAAUAAUAUUUGAUACUUCUUUUGGUAUUGCACUCUACUUCCUACUUCAUUAGACCACAUUAUAUGCUAGCAUGUCACAGCUAUAUUUUCCAAUAUCAACUACUAGGGCCUUUCUUCCAAGAUAUGUGUGUUCAAUUUGAUUUCCUUUGGCUUCUAGUUGGCGGAAAUCCUAAUUAUAUUGAUAUGAGAUAAUCCUUGUGGUGGUUGUGGCAAAAAUAAGAAUGUUGUUCCCAGAAGUAAUUUAUCCUUGUUAUCACUUUAGUUUCUUUAAUUUUUAAUGACCUAGGUUAACAAAUAACAAGCAGGAACACUUUGUCGUUGCUUUCCGUUCGAUAGCUAAUAUUCCUUACGCCCUCCUCUCUCGCCUCAUCCACUUUUCUGAUUCAAGGAAAUGUGUACUUCCAAAGAUGCAUUGGUGAUUUUAGCUUCUUAUUUUUGACAGAUAAUAGAGCACUCUGAAAUGCGUUUGGGAGACCAGGUAGAAGAACUACUGGACUUGGUUAGAAAUGUAUUUCCGCUGCCUCCAGCUGAUCUGACGUCUGAAGCAGGGAUGGAUAAGGAUAGAGAAGAAACUGGGAAUGAGGAGCAAAAUGAGGAUAUGAAUGAAACUUUAGACGGAGAUCAAAUUGAUGGGGAUAGAAAAUAAAGUGUUGACGGGGAACAAAUGGAGACAAAUUGCGGCCAAAUGUUGGAUUUUCCUAGUAGAAACCAAUGAAAUUCUAAACCAUAAUAUAUAUAUAUAUAUAUGUAGAGGGAACUAAAUUAACCUUUUUUUUAAAUCAAUAAACGAAACUGAACUGAUAAAACAAAUAAACAAACCGAAAAAUUGAAUUAAAUCAAUUCCAUUUGGUUUUUCGGUUAAAACUGAAAUCUACUCACCCCUACCCACAUUGGCUGGUUAUUGGGCAAAAAUGCUCCACAUAUGACUUGAGCAAUCCUCCCCCCACAAGGUGCCUUUUGGUUGGAAUUAGACUCGAUCCAUUUUAUUAACAUGGUAUCAGAGCCAACCAGUCUCAAUGUUAGGUCACCCACAAAUGUCUACUCCUGCAAACUUCACACUCCAGACGUUUAAUCCUAGGCGUCAGGGGGGUGUGUUAAGUCCCACAUCGGUUGGGUAUUGGGCAAAAAUGCUUCAUACCCACAAGGUGCCUUUGAAGUGGAGCUAGACUUACAAGAAGCAACCAAGACACAUGAUCAACUUUCAUUUCACAAAUAGUUAGUCCUCUUUGUACAUUGCAUUCAUGAUUCGACAAAGCUGAUAAUAAAGAACAGAAGGUUAAGAAACUAUCACAUGUUACAACUUGAGACUUGAAAAGAAUUAGGUGAUAUAGCAUGGAUAAAAAUCCGAUACAAAUGAAAAGGGAUUUGAAUCUUUAAAUCCAAAUCAAAGUAAACAUCAAGUGUUCAUAUAGUUCACAAAAUGUUCGGAUAAACAUUAGGCGUUCGGACACUUCACAAAGUAUUCGGAUAAAAUGAUUGCUUGGUCAAAGGACAGGUGUGUAUUCGGACAAGGAAGAGUAUUCGGAUACGAGUCAAUUACAUAAGGAAAGUAUGUCAUAUAUUAUCGCCGGGAACAUAGAGAUAUUAGGUGACACCUUCGCAAAGAAUGGAGAGAAAUGAACUGGUGUGAGCUGAUGAAAUCUCUAUUAAAACAGAAAAGGUAUUGUCUUCUACUCUAUAAAUAUGGCUAACAUCAAUAUUCAAGGUAUGCUAUUCUAUUCUUCUUCUACUAUUUGUUGGUAUUUGCUCUCUCUUUGGCAUUUACUGACGGAGUGGCUUAAUCCAGGCCACCGAUCUCACCCAUUUUCUCUUGUUAUAGGCAACAUUCUAAUCAUUUACUGACCCGAGAACCUUAGGCAACAUCAUUAGGAAACCAUUAGAGUAAGAUAAUUGAAGCUAAAAAGGCAUGCAAAUCUGUGGAUCCUCAUAGUAAAAACUGCAGGUGAUGAGUAAUUCUCUCUCUUACACAUUGCAUGCACGAACUUAAACUCACAUUAAAGAGCUAAAUUAAUUUUCUUAACUAAAUCUAUCAACAUUGUUCCUUUAGAGGCAGUGAAUCCUAUGCAUGACCAUGGGAAAAAAAAUAAGCCAAUAGUGGGGGAACCAGGCUUACUGCCAAAAUCACCUGUAGCUGAGAAUCAAUUUUUG